UACAGGGGGUGCAAACGUUGCUCGGAAUCAUUGGGCGUAAAGCGCACGUAGGCGGUUCGUUAUGUCGGAUGUGAAAGCCCUUGGCUUAACCGAGGAAGUGCAUCCGAAACUGGCGAGCCAGAGUACUAAAGAGGAUCGCGGAAUUCCCGGUGUAGAGGUGAAAUUCGUAGAUAUCGGGAGGAACACCGGUGGCGAAGGCGGCGAUCUGGGUAGAUACUGACGCUGAGGUGCGAAAGCGUGGGGAGCAAACAGG
rnacentral:rRNA from 1 species